AUCCGGCCGAUGAGUCUCAUAUAGGAGGAAACGCGCGUCCUGAAU
rnacentral:hammerhead_ribozyme from 1 species